AGAGUUUGAUCCUGGCUCAGGAUGAACGCUGGCGGUCUGCUUAACACAUGCAAGUCGAACGGAGUAGAAAUACUUAGUGGCGGACGGGUGAGUAACGCGUGAGAAUCUGCCUUCAGGACGGAGACAACAGUUGGAAACGACUGCUAAGCCCCGAUGAACCGAAAGGGAAAAUAUUUAUAGCCUGAAGAUGAGCUCGCGUCCGAUUAGCUAGUUGGGGGGGUAAAGGCCCACCAAGGCGACGAUCGGUAGCUGGUCUGAGAGGACGAUCAGCCACACUGGGACUGAGACACGGCCCAGACUCCUACGGGAGGCAGCAGUGGGGAAUUUUCCGCAAUGGGCGAAAGCCUGACGGAGCAAGACCGCGUGGGGGAAGAAGGCUCUUGGGUUGUAAACCCCUUUUCUCUGGGAAGAAAGUUGUGAAAGCAACCUGACGGUACCAGAGGAAUCAGCAUCGGCUAACUCCGUGCCGGCAGCCGCGGUAAGACGGAGGAUGCAAGCGUUAUCCGGAAUGAUUGGGCGUAAAGCGUCCGCAGGUGGCAGUUCAAGUCUGCUGUCAAAGACCGGGGCUUAACUUCGGAAAGGCAGUGGAAACUGAACAGCUAGAGUAUGGUAGGGGCAGAGGGAAUUCCUGGUGUAGCGGUGAAAUGCGUAGAGAUCAGGAAGAACAUCGGUGGCGAAGGGCUCUGCUGGACCAUAACUGACACUCAGGGACGAAAGCUAGGGGAGCGAAUGGGAUUAGAUACCCUAGUAGUCC
rnacentral:rRNA from 1 species